rnacentral:rRNA from 1 species
UACGUAGGGUGCAAGCGUUGUCCGGAAUUAUUGGGCGUAAAGAGCUCGUAGGCGGUCCGUCACGUCGGCUGUGAAAACCUGGGGCUCAACCCCGGGCCUGCAGCCGAUACGGGCGGACUAGAAUUCGGUAGGGGAGACUGGAAUUCCUGGUGUAGCGGUGAAAUGCGCAGAUAUCAGGAGGAACACCGGCUGGCGAAGGCGGGUCUCUGGGCCGAUAUUGACGCUGAGGAGCGAAAGCGUGGGAGCGAACAG